AACGAACGCUGGCGGCGUGCCUAACACAUGCAAGUCGAACGUGAUUGAAGAGCUUGCUCUUCAUGAAAGUGGCGCACGGGUGAGUAACGCGUAGAUAAUCUACCUGGUGAUUUGGGAUAACAGUUCGAAAGGACUGCUAAUACCGAAUAAGCCCACGGAGUCUUUGGAUUCUGCGGGAAAAGGGGGGGACCUUAUGGCCUUCCGUCAUCAGAUGAGACUGCGUACCAUUAGCUAGUUGGUAGGGUAAAGGCCUACCAAGGCGACGAUGGUUAGCUGGUCUGAGAGGAUGAUCAGCCACACUGGAACUGAGACACGGUCCAGACUCCUACGGGAGGCAGCAGUGGGGAAUUUUGCGCAAUGGGGGAAACCCUGACGCAGCAACGCCGCGUGAGUGAUGAAGGCCCUUGGGUCGUAAAGCUCUGACAGAGGGAAAGAAAUGUGGGUGGCUAAUAUCCAUUCUACUUGACGGUACCCUCAAAGGAAGCACCGGCUAACUCCGUGCCAGCCGCCGCGGUAACAC
rnacentral:rRNA from 1 species